rnacentral:rRNA from 1 species
UACGUAGGGUCCAAGCGUUGUUCGGAUUUACUGGGCGUAAAGGGCGCGUAGGCGGCAUGACAAGUCACUUGUGAAAUCUCCGGGCUUAACUCGGAACGGUCAAGUGAUACUGUCGCGCUAGAGUGCGGAAGGGGCAAUCAGAAUUCUUGGUGUAGCGGUGAAAUGCGUAGAUAUCAAGAGGAAUACCUGAGGUGAAGACGGGUUGCUAGGCCGACACUGACGCUGAAGCGCGAAAGCCAGGGGAGCAAACGGG